rnacentral:ncRNA from 1 species
UGGACAACAGGUUUGGUCCUAGCUUUUUUAUUAGUUGUUUGCAGAAUUAUACAUGCAAGAAUCUUCAUACUGGUGAGAAUGCCCUCUAUACCACACCCAAAGGCUAAACGGAGCAGGUAUCAAGCACACUACCAAGUAGCUCAUAACACCUUGCUUUGCCACACCCCCAUGGGCAGAGCAGUAAUAAGAAUUAAGCAAUAAACGAAAGUUUGACUAAGUCAUGCUACUACUAGGGUUGGUAAAUUUCAUGCCAGCCACUGUGGUCAUAUGAUUAACCCAAACUAAUAAACUCCGGCGUAAAAAGUGUUUUAGAAAUGCAAAAAAUAAGACUAAAUUUUAUCUAAGUUGUAAAAAACUCCAGAUAAAAUACAAACUGGAAAUGAAAGCAAUAUUAAUAUAUCUGAAUAUGUGAAAGCUAAGGCCCAAAUUGGGAUAAAAUACCCCACUAUGCUUAACCAUAAACGUAAAAACUUACACAACAAGAGUGUUCACCUGAGAACUACUAGCAAUAGCUUAAAACUCAAAGGACUUGGCGGUGCUUUAUACCCACCUAGAGAGCCUGUUCUAUAAGCGAUAAACCCCCGAUACACCUCAAAACUUCUUGCUAAUUCAGCUUAUAUACCGCCAUCUUCAGCAAACCCAAUCACGGAAACAAAGUAAGCACAAGCAUGCUACAUAAAAAGUUAGGGCAAGCUGUAGCCAAUGGAGUGGGAAGAAAUGGGCUACAUUUUCUUACUAAAGAACAGCAAAUGCAAACAUUUAUGAAAACUAAAGAUCUAAGGAGGAUUUAGUAGUAAAUCAAGAAUAGAGAGCUUGAUUGAGCUAGGCCACAAAGCAUAUACACACCACCCAUCACCCUACUGAAGUACCCCAAAAUUUUUAACCCAAAAAUGAACACAUGUGAGAGGAGAUAAGUCUUAACAAGGAAUGCGUACUGGAAAGUGUACUUGGAAACAAAGUGU